GGGGAUGUAGCUCAGUGGUAGAGCUUCCUCUUCGCAUGCGGAAGGCACGGGGUUCGAUCUCCCGCAUCUCCA
rfam:Nematostella vectensis strain CH2 x CH6 NEMVEscaffold_18641_Cont59092, whole genome shotgun sequence.